rnacentral:rRNA from 1 species
UACGAAGGGGGCUAGCGUUGGUGGGAAUUACUGGGCGUAAAGCGCACGUAGGCGGAUUUUUAAGUCAGGGGUGAAAUCGUGGAGCUCAACUACGGAACUGCCUUUGAUAAUGGGUAUCUUGAGUAAGGAAGAGGUAAGUGGAAUUCCGAGUGUAGAGGUGAAAUUCGUAGAUAUUCGGAGGAACACCAGUGGCGAAGGCGGCUUACUGGUCCAUUACUGACGCUGAGGUGCGAAAGCGUGGGGAGCAAACAGG